CAGGGUGGGGCGUCGUGCUUUUGCUCUGCUUUGCUGCUUCUUCUUCUUUUCUUUUUUCUUUCUUUUUUUUUUUUUUAAUAGUGCUGGGGCUUGAACUCAAGGCCUUCACAUUCAGCUACAUCCCCAGCUCUUUUUUAUUUUGAGUCAGGGUUUCGCCUAAGUCACUGAGUUGCCCAGGCUGGGGUCUGACUUUUGGUCCUCCUGCCUCAGCCUCCCAGAGCGCUAGGAUUGCAGGCUUGCGCCACCUUUCCCAGCUUUCCUGAUAAUGCUGACAUCAAGGACACCAGUAGUGACAGGAAGUUCAAUGAACUCACCUAUUGCACAACUAUUAAACAAAGCUCACAGGCAGAUACGAAGCCUGGAGAGGCAAGGAUCAGUCCUCGCCUCAAGUGUGUGAACCCCACGCUGCCCCCACCUCCAGUUGGAGAAGGGUUUGACCAAGCAACAGGACGCUUGAUGAACUGCACAGGAAACAUUUGUAAACACAACUAUAAAAAUAAGGCAAAGGAAGGCAAACGAAGAUCGUCCCUCAGUAUCUGUUCUCUUUUCCCCGCCCAUCACCACAGCCACAUUAGAUCUUAUCUACACAGUCCUCAGAACAAAGGCUGCAUCUCCAAACCUCCUUCAUAAUAUUUAUGACCUUAGAAUUACACUCUGGCCAGUGGGAUGUAAACUCGAGUGAUGCAUGUGGAGAGGGACUGUCCUUCAAAUUCAUCCUUACUGCUGUCUGGAAUUUGGAUGUGAUGGCUUUGCUCCAGCAGCCAUCUUACACCAUGCAGUACAAGAUGUAUGGCUAAAGAUGGUGGAGUAGCAAGAUUCUGUGUAAAGGAGCCUGGUCUUUGAUAUCAAGGGCACUGUGUGAACCCUGCAUGGCCACUCUUGGUCUCUCUUAUGUAAAAGAGAAAUAUAUUUCUG
rnacentral:lncRNA from 1 species